CUGGGUUGUACUAAACCAAAAGGCUAAGUCAUAAGAGACAAAUCUGCAGUAAUACAUGUCACAAUACCUGUACAAAAAUUGUUGGGCCUUUUCAUAUCCGUUCCAUUCAUACUAUCUAACACUACACUCUAAUCAAGUGCAGGGCUGCCAAGUCUCACUCAUUCAGUGCGAGACUCACACAUUUGCAUGCUUAUUUGGUGGCAUUUUCCUUUGAUCUAUUGUUUUUUUCUCACUGAUCUUUACAAUUUUGGUUUCAUUCUCAUGCACUUUCUUCAUUAAAAGUUGG
rnacentral:lncRNA from 1 species